UCCCUGGAGGAUUAGUGGUUAGGCCUCGGCUCUCUCACCGCUGCAACCCGGGUUCAAUUCCUGGCCAGGGAA